rnacentral:rRNA from 1 species
AGGACGAACGCUGGCGGCGUGCUUAACACAUGCAAGUCGAGCGGAAAGGCCCUUCGGGGUACUCGAGCGGCGAACGGGUGAGUAACACGUGAGCAACCUGCCCCUGGCUCUGGGAUAGCCUCCGGAAACGGGGAUUAAUACCGGAUAUUCACUGCUUCCUGCAUGGGGGGUGGUGGAAAGUUUUUCGGCUAGGGCGGGCUCGCGGCCUAUCAGCUUGUUGGGGGGGUGACGGCCCACCAAGGCGACGACGGGUAG